AUGUGGCUGAGUGUUGCUUGUAAUCGUCACCAAAAUGAGGGACUUUCUCAGCUCCACCACAGCCAGGCAGUGCGCAGUGCUUCUGGGAAGAGGAAGGCCCUUCUGUGGAGGAGUAACUCAGAGCAGCAAUGGACACUUUUUCUACGGACCUGUUGUGAUGCAUUUACUCAGGAUGAUGUCAGAACCAAGGGAGGAGCAAGAGAACACAAUUUCCAAUAUGAGCAACUCCAGGCACAUCCUCAUACUCCAUGGUAUGAUGCUGAACCAACAACAGCAGAAGUGGUGGUGUCUGCAUGGCUCACCUUUGACAGAGUGGCCUGGAUAACAACAGCUGUUAAGAUAGGAGCAGGAAGAUAAACAGCAUAUGGGAAUGGAGGGCCCAAAACUGGCUGAGAAGACAUUUGUCUCCAAUGCUUAUUUAAGAGAGGAAGACAAGGAUCAGCCAGAUUAAUAACCCGGGAAUUACAAACAGAUGAAGUAUAAAAGAAUUGAAAAUCUGAGACACUGGAAACAGAGAUCAUGGGAUAGAAGCAGACCAUCAGCCAAUACCUGGUUCAGCACUGCCCCAAGUAACUCCACUGGGAUCAUGAUCUCUGCCGAGGCCUGACUGAGCAUCCUCCCCUUCAGGCACCGUGAGUAGCCAGCAUGCCAGCUACUGGAGUGAUGGUAUAAGGUGUAACACAUAGGGACAAACAUUUUGAAUAAGCUUGUGUGAACUUAUGAGGUGCUUUCUCACCAGCAUGUGCCUUAGCAGACUGUAGGAAGCACCACAGAGCUGGAGCAACCAGGAGGUAAGGAGGUGAACAUGCACUCCCAAAGAUGGUAUGUGUUUGUAACCCACACUUCCUUCCAACAUGUGUGUGACCUUGUGUAUGCAUGUGAGGGGGGAAUUAGAGCUUUUUGAGAUAAGUUACAGAAGGGUGGAGAUGUAUAGGUAUUAAUUAACAUUUUGGAAACAUCUAGUGCUCUGACUUACCUGUUGUAUUAUUGAUACGAUCUUGAAUGCAUAGUUCAUUGGUUGCUGGUCAAUUCUGUGCCAUGCAUAAACCAAUAAACUACAUUGAUCCACAUUCA
rnacentral:lncRNA from 1 species